rnacentral:lncRNA from 1 species
GUUAAACCAGGUCAAACAAAUAGUGACGGCAUAGCAAUGUUUGAUCUGAGAGCAGUUUUAAUGUUCAACUUGAUGAUACCAAACUGCAGACAUUUAGUAACGCUGGAGAAGUAGCAGAAUGGGAGAGUCAUUUCAGAAGUGUCUGCCAUGUAAGCAGGAAAUGUUCACCCUCUGAGGUCUCAGAAUAUUGUUCUUCAAAUUGCACCCUUGAAAAAUCUACAAGGACUAAUUGUUAAAAGGGAAAGACUUUCAGACUGGCUGUAAGUCCACACGUACAGAAUCUGAAGCUGAUCUUGAUGGGAACAGAUUUAGGAUCCCACAUAUGCCUCUAAAGGUUGUAUUGUAUCCUUUAUAAGCAACCUGACCAUCGCCACUGGACAGAAAUCACAUGGUGGUGUGGGGGAUAC